rnacentral:lncRNA from 1 species
GACAACAAACUGCUUUAAAAUUGGGUAUCUGCACUUCUUUAAGGUUUUCAUAACCAAUCUGUAGAAGGGAACAAAAUAUGAGCACUUUAGCAUCGUUCUUUAUAUAUAUAUAUAUAUAUAUUGAUUCCAUUUUAAUUUUAGUGUGUGUCUUUAAGAUCUCUACAAUUUUUUACUAGUAACAUUUUCAAGUUAAUAUAAUG